rnacentral:misc_RNA from 1 species
AAGUCGUAACAAGGUAACCGUAGGUGAACCUGCGGUUGGAUCAUUACUGAUUCCGCAUAUGGAUUACCAUAGGCUGAUGGGGAGCAAUUCCUGUUAGUCUCUGGUAAGACUAAUGCUUGUUGACCAUAACGUUGGCUAGAUGGUUCUUGUUUUCGGACAAAACUGUCUGGUCUUGGUAACUCUUAAAGGUUGCUAUAAAAACAAAUCUCAAAGCCCUAACAGGUUUUGGGUGAACAAGAGUUGGUCUUUAUUGACCUUUUCUUUUGUUAAAGUAUAACUUGUCAUAUCAAUAGCGAUUCUUAGGAACCGUUUUGAAAAACCAAAUACAACUUUAGACAAUGGAUCUCUUGGCUCAC